rnacentral:rRNA from 1 species
AUGCUACGAACGUCGGCGACGCGGGGCUGUGACCAACGGCGCGCGGUGGUGCGUGAUUGGCGGGGGCGAUGCUGCAACCGUAGGCGUGACUUGCUACUACCGUCGAAAGAAAAAGCUUCAACCGGCUACAGAGAAAGCUUCAACCCGACCCCUGUGCACUGGCAAAGCUGCAACCGUCGAAAUAAAAAGCCUCAACCACUACAUAGAAAGCUUCAUCCCAGCCACCGCGCCACCGGCAAAAAGCUUCAACCAGGGGCACCGUGCAACACGCAAAGUUGCAACCGUCGAAAGAAAAAGCUUCAACCGGCUACACAGAAAGCUUCAACCAGGGCCCAGUGCAAACCGACUAAGGUGCAACCGUCCAAAGAAAAAGCUUCAACUACUACAGAGAAAGCUUCAACCAUGACGGCGAUCCGAUGA